rnacentral:snRNA from 1 species
GUGCUUGCUUCGGCAGCACAUACACUAAAAUUGGAACGACACAGAAAAGAUUAGCAUGGCCCCUGCGCAAGGAUGACACGCAAAUUUGUGAAGCAUUCCAUAUUUUU